UACGAAGGGUGCAAACGUUGCUCGGAAUUAUUGGGCGUAAAGCGCACGUAGGCGGCUUAGCAAGUCGGAAGUGAAAGCCCUUGGCUCAACCAAGGAAGUGCUUUCGAAACUGCUGAACUUGAGUAGUUAAGAGGAUCGCGGAAUUCCCGGUGUAGAGGUGAAAUUCGUAGAUAUCGGGAGGAACACCAGUGGCGAAGGCGGCGAUCUGGGAACAUACUGACGCUGAGGUGCGAAAGCGUGGGGAGCAAACAGG
rnacentral:rRNA from 1 species